UCCACAUCUAGGUUCCCUUCCCCUGCUGCCGCCGCCUCUCGCUUCCACGAGAGUCCUCCCGCCGCCGCCACCGCUCUCUCUCCUCCUCGCCCCCAACCUCAUGGCUCCUUCCCCUCACGGCAGCGGCGGCCUCUCCCUGCAACAAGGUUGAGGGUGGCGCAAACGCCAGCGCUCUCGUGAGCGCGAGUCUGGAUCUUCAGAAGAGGAAGACUAGGGAGGCCCUAGCUAGGGCCACUCAGCAAGCACCACUGCAGGGGCAGCUCUCCAUGUGCGGAGACGCUCCUUCUCCUCCUCAGCUUUUCAGUUGCUCCAGUGGGAUCCCAAGAAUGAAUAGAAUAUGAAGGAUUUAGGGGUAGAGCUUGAUGACACAUGUAGCAUGUCACGCACAUGAACAACAAUUCAAGCUAGCAGCAGCGAUGCAAGCAAGAACUCAGGUCCCCAGAUGUAGCUUUAUCUCCCCUGUUGACACCCUAUUAUAUAUUUAAUAAAUAUAUCAGUGUCGAUUGACAAUUUUCUCGUAUACGUUUGCUCUUUAUUUGCGGACCAAUAUUACCAUAUGCUGCAUGAGACACCAGAUCAGGUGAAUAAGUUUUAUUAAGAUACCAACAAAGAUUGGCCGGCCAGGUUCUGAUGGAGUCAUGGAAUAUGUUGCAAUAUUGCAUGUAAGUUUUAUCAAGAUACCAGCAGGAUUGGUCGGCCAGGUUCUGAUGGAGUCAUGGAAUAUGUAGCAAUAUUGCCUGUAAGCUCUACUAUGUGAAUUUAUUGCUACAACCGGUUCAACUUUAACCUGAACUAACUCUCCUUAUUUCCAUCUCUUCUGUGUGGUACGCUCUCUUUUUACAUGGUAUAUACCUCAAAGUGAAUAUCGCCAUAUAAAUCUGCUGAUAAUAUUAUGGUUGUCUUCUGGAGUUGUCAAAAAUAGAUCAUUGAUGCUGGUUUCAGGCUUGUUAGCUCCUGUAUUAAUUGAUUUCCUAUGAUGUCAAUUGUUAUGGUGCUAAAUUUAUUUGUUGUAUUGCAAUAUCCGAAUAAUCUUUUAUCUUUCACAAGUAGAAACUGUUACGCCACUUUAUUUGGCUUUUUUUCUCAUAUGUAGUACACAAUAGUGUAGAUAUUUGUUUGCACCGAAACUUUGUUUUUCAUAGGAUUAAAUGAGUAUGAAACAAUGGAGGUUAUGGUGAUCCCUACCGUAAUAUGCUUUUUGGUUUCUUGUGAGCUUACUUCCACGUUAAAAAUCAGGUAGUAUAACUAUUGUUUUUUGUUUCUUAUUUCUUAUGAUGAAAGUGAUUGAAGCAUACGAUUUAGUCUAUUGCUGAUUCGCCAUGUUGUGUGAGGCAGUUCCUUCCCAUUGCCCCAUAAUGAUCUUUAGUUUUCACGUAAGCAGCCAAUAACUAUUUUGUAUAUUUGGUAGGACGUAAAGGCUAUUCUAAUAUUUCAGCCAUGCUUAUUGAAAAUGUAAUUCAUUCAAGCCGUGAUUUUUAUUGUUAGCAUGCUACCAUCCAUUUUAGUUAUGGAUUAUCGUAGGUGCAAGGUAUGGCUUCCACAGUGACUAUACUCUUUUCCUGUCUUUUAACCUAAGGUUGCAUUUACUGUUUACAAUGGAAACUAUUUAUUGUAAAUCCAGUAUAAUUGUUGAUCUUUGAAUAUUUUUGUCCAUUGAACACUUAAUUAUGUUUUAUUUCCUCUUUUAUCCAUUAAAUAGAUGUACCCCAAAUAUGAUUUUUUCGUGCUCGUUUAUUCUUUUUUGACAUUGAUGCAAAUAUUUUUUCCCAUUUCCCACUUAAUCAUGUUUUAUUUCCUCUUUUAUCCAUUAACUAGAUAUACCCCAAAUAUGAAAAUUUCUUCGUGCUCGUUGAUUCUUGUUUGACAUUGAUUCAAAUAUUGCUGGUUGUGACUGUCCGUGAAACAUCAUUCUUCAAAUCAUGCAAGUAAAUGUGAUUUAUUGGAUUUUUCUUUAGCAAGAUGUGGCUCUGGUUGUGGGGCUUGAGAUAAUUUUUUAUGUCAAAAUGCACAAGAGAGCAAUCAGCUUAGUUCCUGCUUGCUGGAUUUGCUCCAGUGAUGCUUUGCACUCCCAUCAUCACCAUGUCAGCAUAUUAUUUAUUUCUGUUUGUGCUAGCUUAUCCUAUUGAUGUUAAUUAAGUACAGAUUUGAACCUGUACUGACUAACAAAAUUGUGAAGAAAAUAUAUUGUCGUGUCCUUACUCCCUACUAUGUAGUCUAUAACGAUGAACAAAAUGUUUGUAUAACAUGGAAAUUGUAUAGAUAAUAAAUUAGUAACAUAUUUACAAGCUACCGAAAAGAAAGAUCUUAUGCAUGCCGGAUGGAAUCCAAAUCAGUGAGGGACACCUAAUGUUUGAACCUGACCAAGAUCAUGGCUCUAUUCGCGAACAACUUCAGCGGCAGAUGUGAUGUUAUUUUGAUCUGAGAUUUCAUCCAACUGCAAAAUCUGUCUUAGCAUGUAAAAGGUAUGUAUGCUGACCAAUAAUUCUUCAUGUAUUCCUUUAUUGGUUAGGAAUGGUGACGAAGCACAUAGGGAAAAGGUAGACCACAAUGGCCUGCUUCAGCUGAAGGUCAUAUUAACCAGUCAAUAGAGCAAAAGUUAUGGAAAUGUCUGUGGGCACAUUCUGUGGUACAAAAUACUAUUUUUCCUCUCUAAAAAUGACAUGUAAAGUCCGAAAUUUUGAAUUUUAUGAUAUGCCAAAAAGUGUGGAUAAAUAUGAAUGCAUGCUAAUGCCUCUUAAUAAUAAUACAUGCCGUGAAUAUCUGUCUAAUAGUGUACUUACUUGGUCCUCUAAUUUCUCCGGGGCUAUCUCUAACCGAUGAACACAUGUUACAGCUAAUGAUGAUAUUGAUUCGGUGCAGAGUUUCUUGUUUCAGGUUGGAGCAGGAGUCGCUGGAACCUUAAUGCAUGAAUAUAAGUUGGUUUUAUUUUUCUCUUCAGAUUUACCCAUUGAGUGCACCCAUAUGGUAUGCCAUAAUAAGAAGGAUUAGCUUUUACUUGGAUUUUGUAAAA